rnacentral:rRNA from 1 species
GUAAUCUAGAGAAGUGUUUUCCGCUUUGGCCCAUGUACAAGUCCCUUGGAACAGGGCGUCAUAGAGGGUGAGAAUCCCGUCCUUGACAUGGACCCCCAAUGCUUUGUGAUACACUUUCAACGAGUCGAGUUGUUUGGGAAUGCAGCUCAAAAUGGGUGGUGAAUUCCAUCUAAAGCUAAAUAUUGGCGAGAGGCCGAUAGCGAACAAGUACCGUGAGGGAAAGAUGAAAAGCACUUUGGAAAGAGAGUUAAACAGUACGUGAAAUUGUUGAAAGGGAAACGAUUGAAGUCAGUCAUGCUCUUUGGAUUAAGCCGUUCUGCGGUGUAUUUCAUUGAGCGGGGUCAACAUCAGUUUUGAUCGCUGGAAAAGGGCAGGAGGAAGGUAGCACUCUCGGGUGAACUUAUAGCCUCUUGUCGUAUACAGUGAUUGGGACUGAGGAACGCAGCAUGCCUUUUGGCCGGGAUUCGUCCACGUACAUGCUUAGGAUGUUGACAUAAUGGCUUUAACGACCCG